CAAUAGCGUAUAUUAAAGUUGUUGCGGUAAAAAAGCUCGUAGUUGGAUUUCUACCGAAGAUAGCCGGUCGGGUCUUCGACCUUGUAUCUGGUUUUGUCUUUGGUACCCUCAUAGGGAACGUUUCUGCGCUUUAUUGCGUGGUGCGGUAUCUAUGACCUUUACUUUGAGGAAAUUAGAGUGUUCACGGCAGGCAAACGCCUUGAAUAUAUUAGCAUGGAAUAAUAACACAGGAUCUUCGUCCUAUUUUGUUGGUUUCUAGGGCUAAGAUAAUGAUUAAUAGGGAUAAUUGGGGGCAUCUGUAUCAACGCGUCAGAGGUGGAAUUCUUGGAUUGCGUUGCGACAAACUACUGCGAAAGCAUUUGCCAAGGAUGUUUUCAUUGA
rnacentral:rRNA from 1 species